rnacentral:rRNA from 1 species
AACGAACGCUGGCGGCAUGCCUAACACAUGCAAGUCGAACGAGACCUUCGGGUCUAGUGGCGCACGGGUGCGUAACGCGUGGGAACCUGCCUUUAGGUUCGGAAUAACUCAGAGAAAUUUGAGCUAAUACCGGAUGAUGUCUUCGGACCAAAGAUUUAUCGCCUUUAGAUGGGCCCGCGUUGGAUUAGCUAGUUGGUGGGGUAAAGGCCUACCAAGGCGACGAUCCAUAGCUGGUCUGAGAGGAUGAUCAGCCACACUGGGACUGAGACACGGCCCAGACUCCUACGGGAGGCAGCAGUGGGGAAUAGUGGACAAUGGGCGAAAGCCUGAUCCAGCAAUGCCGCGUGAGUGAUGAAGGCCUUAGGGUUGUAAAGCUCUUUUACCCGAGAUGAUAAUGACAGUAGCGGGAGAAUAAGCUCCGGCUAACUCCGUG